UACAGAGGUGGCAAGCGUUGUUCGGAAUUACUGGGCGUAAAGGGCGCGUAGGCGGUUCGGUAAGUCCUGUGUGAAAUCCCUCGGCUCAACUGAGGAACUGCACGGGAGACUGCCGGGCUUGAGUUCGGGAGAGGGAAGCGGAAUUCCGGGUGUAGCGGUGAAAUGCGUAGAUAUCCGGAGGAACACCGGUGGCGAAGGCGGCUUCCUGGACCGACACUGACGCUGAGGCGCGAAAGCUAGGGGAGCAAACAGG
rnacentral:rRNA from 1 species